rnacentral:rRNA from 1 species
GAUGAACGCUGGCGGCGUGCCUAAUACAUGCAAGUCGAGCGCACAAACGAGGUGCUUGUACCAAUUCGAUUAGCAGCGGACGGGUGAGUAACGCGUGGGUAAUCUGCCUUUGAGCCGGGGAUAACAUCGGGAAACGAAUGCUAAUACCGCAUAAUAACUUUAACCACAAGAUUCAAGAGUGAAAGACGCUUUUGCAUCACCCAAUAGUUGUCCCCGGUUGUAUUAGCUAGUUGGUUAGGUAAAGGCCCACCAAGGCAUCGGUCCGUAGCCGACCUGGAAGGUUGACCGGCCACACUGGAACUGAGACACGGCCCAGACCCUUCCGGGAGGAAGCAGUGGGGAAUAUUGGCAAAUGGGCGAAAGCCGGACGGAGCAAGGCCGCGUGGGUGAUGAAGGUUUUCGGUCGUUAAACCCCUUUUGUUGGGAAAGAAGAAAGGGAGAAUGAAAAGCGCAUGUCUUGACGGUACCUAAACAGAAAGCCACGGCUAACUACGUG